rnacentral:rRNA from 1 species
UCAUCGUAGGGUUAGUCGGGACCUAAGUCGAGUCCGAAAGGGGUAGACGAUGGCAAAUCGGUUAAUAUUCCGAUUCCGACGGUUGUUUGUUUGAGUGAUGGGGGGACGCAUAGAGUUAAUCGAGCUCACUGAUGGAAUAGUGGGUCGAAGGAUGUAGGUUGUACAGUAGGCAAAUCCGCUGUACAUGAGACCGAGAUCUUACAGGCUCUUCAAUAGCUUCGGCUAGCGAGGAGAAUCGAUGAUACUGUCGUGCCGAGAAAAGCCUCUAAGCGAGAACAACCGUUGCCCGUCCCGUAAACCGACCCAGGUGGGUGAGAUGAGUAUUUUAAGGCGCGUGGAUGAACCCUGGUUAAGGAACUCUGCAAACUAGCCCCGUAUCUUCGGUAUAAGGUGUCCCCUAAGUGUUAAAGGACUUGCUCCUUGAAGCACUGAAGGGUCGCAGCAAAGUGUCCCUCCCGACUGUUUAC